rnacentral:rRNA from 1 species
GACGAACGCUGGCGGCGUGCUUAACACAUGCAAGUCGAACGGUAAGGCCCUUCGGGGUACACGAGUGGCGAACGGGUGAGUAACACGUGGGUGAUCUGCCCUGCACUUCGGGAUAAGCCUGGGAAACUGGGUCUAAUACCGGAUAGGACUCCGGACUGCAUGGUCUGGGGUGGAAAGCUUUUGCGGUGUGGGAUGGGCCCGCGGCCUAUCAGCUUGUUGGUGGGGUGAUGGCCUACCAAGGCGACGACGGGUAGCCGGCCUGAGAGGGUGACCGGCCACACGGGGACUGAGAUACGGCCCAGACUCCUACGGGAGGCAGCAGUGGGGAAUAUUGCACAAUGGCGCGAGCCUGAUGCAGCGACGCCGCGUGAGGGAUGACGGCCUUCGGGUUGUAAACCUCUUUCAGCAUCGACGAAGCGAAAGUGACGGUAGGUGCAGAAGAAGGACCGGCCAACUACGUGCCAGCCGCCGCAGUAA